UACGUAGGGUGCAAGCGUUAAUCGGAAUUACUGGGCGUAAAGCGUGCGCAGGCGGUUUUGUAAGUCUGUCGUGAAAGCCCCGGGCUUAACCUGGGAAUUGCGAUGGAGACUGCAAGGCUUGAAUCUGGCAGAGGGGGGUAGAAUUCCACGUGUAGCAGUGAAAUGCGUAGAGAUGUGGAGGAACACCGAUGGCGAAGGCAGCCCCCUGGGUCAAGAUUGACGCUCAUGCACGGAAGCGUGGGGAGCAAACAGG
rnacentral:rRNA from 1 species